rnacentral:lncRNA from 1 species
UAUUUCUAAGUAGGGAGCAUUAUUGAAUAAAUUUGGUUUUGGAAUCUAAAGUUGGGGAGAGUAAAGUAAGAAGAGUUGAUUAGAAACUUGGAAAAGUGAGUUUUUAUGAAAGGGUGAAAAUAUGAAAAGAAACAAGAAAAAGAAAUCACCCUUGACACCAUAGAGCAAUGAAAAAUGAAAAGAAAGAAAAAAGCAAAGAAAAUGCUCAUGGUU